ACUCUCGGUAAAUGAAUGAGGAGAGCCCCAUGUGGGAUUACAAACUUGCUGGAAAUGGAUGAGAAACCUUCUGCUCUGCUGGAGUUUAUCUUGAGUGUGCCUUAAAAUUCCAUUUCAUGGAGAACUGUGCGUGGUUGAAUUUUGAUUGAUUACUCAAUUAACUGAUGUAUUGGUAGAGUGAUUAAGAAAGAAGACUUUGGGAUCAGACCAACCUGGUUUUGAAUUCAAGCUCAGCAACUUACUAGGUAAGGAGGAGAAAAGAAAGAAGGAAAAAUUGGAAAGAUAAAUGGGGUCUUUCCAGUGAAGAAACACAAGAAAUAAGAAGACCAUUUUGAGAAGAACAGAGAGUAGCCUUAAGAAAAUCCCUGUCGCAAGCACUCUGGGAUUUGGACUCAAAUGCUAAUUAUACAGAACCACUUGGGUGCCCAGCUGCUGUCCAUUCUCUACACUUAUCCCACCUGAUGGAAGGCUGUUAAGAAAAACAUCACUGCAAUGCCUAAUAAACAGACAUGGGUCCCAGACCCAAUAAGAGUGAAACCAUCCCCCUAUUUAAAUGAAAUUAUGGCUGAUGAGAAAGACAAAUUAAUUUCUCUGUCCCUAGUAUUACACAAAACUUUGGAUGCUGCCAUUGUUACAAUUUUAUUUUCCCCAGGAGCUCAGAGUCCCACCUUCAUUCUUUUUGUUUAAUGCUUAAGCUUGCCUGUCCACCUAUGGAAGACUAGAAUGAGCAAAGACCAUGUAUUCAAUGAUCUGUAAAUCUAACAGGAAACAAUAUAAUAAAUAUAUUGUGUUUGCUAACCAAAUCUGUGAAUGAUUAGAUCGACUGGUUAAUGAUUAGAUGGAUUAACACAUCAUUUCUAUUUUCUCUCUCCUCCCCUACUUCUUGUUUUAAUGAUACCUUCCAAGUUUUAUUUCUCCAAGCCUAACCCCUUACAUAAUACAAGAGGACAACAGUUUGCAAAAUAAAUAUCUGUUGGCCCUAACUGGUAAAUACUGAAAUAGAUUUCAAGUAAUGUGAGUGUUUUUGAAACCACCUAAAUCUGUAAGCCACCCUGCAAGGAACAAGGGUAGCAAAGUGAAUAAGCCAGACAUGUAAAAAUAAAGAUGACAAAAUGGAAGGCAAUUAAUGCCUGUAAUGGAGGUGGGGAAGGGGGGAAUGACAAGUUAAUAAGAAAUUUAUUUUUAAAUGCUAUCAUCUGCCAUAAAAUAUCCAUGCUUAUUUUAGAAAAUAUGUAAAAUGUUUAAGAAUUAAACAUCUUUAAAAAAAUCACAUGAACUCAUCACCCUGCAACAAAACACACACAGAUGAGUGCACACACUUAAACACACAUUAAUUUUCAAUUAGUAUAUAAAGUUAAUAUCCUGCUAAGUACAAGAUACUAUAUCAUGAGCACUUUGUCUCGCCAAUAUUCUAUGAAAACAUAAUUAUUACAGAAUAUUCUGGAAAGUGAAUAUACCAUGAUUUAUCCAGUCAUUUCCCUAUUAACACACAUUUUGUGAUUCCAAUUUAUCACUGCCACACAGUAUUUUCUUAAAUAACCU
rnacentral:lncRNA from 1 species